rnacentral:rRNA from 1 species
GUCUCCACCCUGAACGCACCCUAUCUUGUCUAAUCUUAGAAACUAAGCAGGGUCUGGGCCUGGUUAGUACUUGGAUGGAAGACCCCCUGAGAAUGCUAGGUACUGUAGGCU